rnacentral:rRNA from 1 species
AUGACAAACCCAAGGUAUCGCAGAUCUGUCAGGUCGGCCUCCUUCACCUUGCCGUGCCCGGCGAGUUGCUGCCGGACCUCGUCUUGCGCCUUCCGCAUAACCCGCGGGUUCCGUAUCAGCUCCGCCAUCGCCCACUGCAGCGUCGUCGCCGACGUCUCGCUGCCGGCGCCAAACAUCAUGACGGUCUUGAUGUUGUCAGUGGUGAGUGGAUACUGGGAGUCCGCUUCCUUUUGGAGUCUCAGGAGCACGUCGAGCAAGUCUUCUUCUUUGUCGCCGUCACCGCCCGGGCCUCUGUUCUCCUGGUGCUCCUGGAUGAUGGUGUCCAUGAACAGCUUCAUGCCUUGGCUAUGGCGCUGUAUCCUGCCGGGGACGCUGCUGAGGAGCCGCACGAGGCGCGAGGAGGGGAAAAUGUCGGGAAGGGUCAUCCCGGGCACGAUUUUGAGUCCCUCUUGCAGCAUCUUCAGGUACGUGUCCCGCUGCUUGAACCGGCCGCCGACGAUGGCGCGCACCGUAGAAUCAGCGACGUACGCCGAUAUGCGCUCGCUCAGGUUCACCGGCGAAGACGAGGCAGAAGCCGCCGCGACGGAGCGGAGGAGGCGCCCGAGCUCCUCCUCGCGGGCGGGGCGGAAGGACUGGACGCGGCGGGAGCUGAGGAUCUCGACGGUGCAUAUCUUGCGAAGCUGCCGCCACGCGUCGCCGUAG